GCAGGAGUGUGGCAGAGUGGUAAUGAACAGGGCUCAUAACCCAAAGGUUGCUGGUUCGAUUCCAUACUGGGGCA